CCCUUGUUUGCACAGUCGGGAGUGCGUUAGUCUCAUGAUCUGAAGGUUGUGAGUUCAAAUCUCACAUGAGGCA